AAUGCCCUGAGAAUAAAAUGAUAUGUGGAUGUUGUGCUUACUUGGACUGUGAUGAAGCUGUGAGGACUCAGGUGGUUUGUCUUCAUGCUCUUCAGUCUUCACAGAGACAACAGUCAGUGGAAACUUGCUGAGAUCAGCCUCCUCCUGCCCUAGAAGACACUCUUCCUCCUGAGUGGUCCACACUUCCUCCUCUUCCUCUUUGAUGUGGGGUGGCUGCUGGACAUCUGUUGGGAGACGCCAGAGGGUCCAUGGCACCUGGUCUUCUUCGUUGAUGGAUCCUCCUUCACCAUCCUGAAGCUACACUCCUGUUUUUCAGGCAGAAGUUGUUCCUCACAGACGUCUGCAGGACACAAAAUAACAAACAUGCUUGAGAAAUUUCCAGAUUCAGUCAGUAAGUUCACAUGAACUUACAAAAACAAGUUAUUAUAUGAAUUGGCCUGAAAACAAACACUCUGCUUUUUACAACAUUAUUCACAGGAAAAGAAGACGACUUUUUACGAUGGGUGGGCAAUAUGGCCUAAAAUCUAUAUUGCGAUAAAUUCCCUUUAACCUGAGUGCAGCUGGGCUAGGCUCCAGCGCCCCCUGUGAUUUUAAUGUCAGUUACUGAUGUAUAAACUUGGAGAAAAGAUUAGGUUGUUUACAGUGUAAAUCUGAAUUCUGUAUUGUUGUCUCUGCUAUGACGCCAUCUUGUGGUCGAGAGUAUUUCCUUUUGCUUCGUGCCUUGAACCCGAAGUAAUGAUUCGUCAUUGAUCUCGCCAAGCAACAUUUGUAAGUGUAACCGGGGUUUUCCAUUGGAUGUGGAACGACGCUGCCAUAGCGACAGACUUGUUCCGUUUUUUGUUUUCAAGUCAAUGUGUCAGUUUCCACCACCUGGCUUCUAUAUUUAGUGUUCGACACAACAAAGCAUUUAAAUUUAGCUAAAAUCUGCUCGUGUGGGACAGGAAGUCAUGUAUAAGCAUAAAAUAAAGGAUCCAGUUUACUUUCAAAGUAGAACAUUCUGUUUAAGGCGGAUGGUAUGCUACACUUUGAAAAGUCCUAAUGGACAUGAAGUCAACUUGUCAAAAGGUUUUCAGACUUAAUUUCACCUCCUUGACACUAUUGGACGAAAACAUGCUGAUUCUAAAAGGUUCAAAAUUAAAGAAUCAUAUAACAGGCAUAUCCUGGGCAGUUAUAUGGGGGCCUGUACUACAGCGUUGUAUUAAAAUGACUAUUUCCAUCUCCAACAUUAAAGUGAGUGUCACUAACACUACUGCACACAGGAAAACGUGUGGAGGAGAAUUGCAAGUAGUCGAAACAAAGAUUGUGAAUAACUGAGAAGAGGCUCACUUUGUUCAUGUAAGUCUACUGUGGAAUAAACAUGCUCAGGUGCUGAGAGCGAUGCAAAGAGUGAGACCUCUUAUUCCAUUUUAAAAUCCAAAGACCAAGAAGGAAACAGACCGACAUAGCAAUUUAUUGAUGACGGUAAGAAUAAAGUUAUUAGGUUUAUUUUUAUUUAUAUCGGUCCCGGCCUACGGUUGCAUGAAUAUUUUAAUGCCUCUGGACAUCAUAUUUAAUGCUUUUUAAUACCAUCAAAGCCUUAAUUUAGGAAAAGUCUAUUUAAUUACUUAUAUUGCUUCUUAAUGACCCACAGAAACCCUGUUAAAGCUCUUAAAUUGAAACAAAUGUGGACUUAUCGAUACAAAAAUCGACUAUAAAAAUACCAAGUGGGGCUGGGCGAUAUAUCGAUAUACUCGAUGUAUCGCGGGUUUGUCUCUGUGCUAUAUAGAAAAUGACUAUAUCGUGACAUUCGAGCAUACGUUCUCACAGAGUUGCUUUUAGCUGCAGGCAUUACACUACAGGCUCUUCUCACUCUUUGUUGUCUCUGCUUCUCACAGAGAGAUAAAACAAGCGCACCUUCUUACAUACGUCACAUACGUAUACACCCUAGUGGAGCAGAGAGGUAAUACGAGAGAAAGAAGGUGCGAAUCUGGUAACAAAUGAAGGAAGAACUAAUUCCCAACAAAACAUCACGGGGUCCAUCGUCUGGCGGUGGUUUGGCUUCAAGUGGGAAUAUGUCGAACAGACAACCGUAAUUUGUCAAGUGUGGGGCAAAAGCGUGGCUACAAAAAGUAGCAUUAUUGCUAAUAUGUAGCAUCAUUUGAAAAGUCACUUGCUAGAGAAUGUCAACAUCUCCGUUCGGUACCACACCCACAAAAUGCCGAGGCACCCAUUUCCACAUCAACACCGUAUGAAAAAAAUAGUCAACAACAGAAGGAGAUAACGUCCGCAGGAACCUACCACAUAGCGAAAGACAUACACUAUUUGAUUUCCUAUUAUGCAGCUCAAUUUUAUUUGACAGUUAUUGAAAUAUCUUGUGUGUCAUCAUGCACAAAAGUAAACUAUUGUAGUGGCAUUCUGUACAAAAAGUGCACUUUAACUUGGUGUUUUGAUAUGUCAUCUUAGUGACAUCAUACACAAAAGUGCACUCCUAGCUUGUUUUAAAAUGUCUCUGACAAUCUUGGACUUUCUGUUUGGAAAUGACAUGAAUGUUUGUGCCACCGCUUAAUAACUGUUUAAUAAAUACAGUUCUUCUAAAUUGACUUACCGUAUUUUUCGGACUAUAAGUCGCAGUUUUUUUCAUAGUUUGGCCGGGGGUACGACUUAUACCCAGGAGCGACUUAUGUGUGAAAUGAUUUACACAUUACCGUAAAAUAUCAAAUAAUAUUAUUUAGCUCAUUCACGUAAGAGACUAGACGUAUAAGAUUUAAUCAGAUUUAUGGAUUACGAGUGACAUAUUGUUUGGUAAAGGUAUAGCAUGUUCUAUAUGUUAUAGUUAUUUGAAUGACUCUUACCAUAGUAUGUUACGUUAACAUACCAGGCACCUUCUCAGUUGGUUAUUUAUGCGUCAUAUAAUGUACACUUAUUCAGCCUGUUGUUCACUAUUCUUUAUUUACUUUAAAUUGCCUUUCAAGCGCUUUCUCUAUUGGUAUUUGUAUUGCUCCAGUUGUAGUAUAAAAUGCUCAUUGUCAUUUCUAUAUUAUUAUUUAUUUCACUAACUGCUUCUUUGCUAUCACUUUUAUGAUCAUAUUUGUACAUAUCGUAUGUGCUGGUGUUGUUCUAUUGUUGUUGUUGUUUUUGUUGUUAUUGUUGUGUUUGCUGUUGUUGUUUUUGUCUCUCUGUCUAAUCCCCCUCAUAUCCCCACAAUUUCCCCCUGUUUUCCUUUUUUUCUCUUUCUAUCCCCUCCUGCUCACCAAAUGAUAAUAUAAAUACAUUUAAUAGAGUCAAAUUCAAAUAAGGCAACAAGAGAAGUAUCCUACACUUCUCUUUUGUAAAGUAAAUCUGAACAGCCGAUAUGGGCAUCUACAUCAAAUAUAUGAUUUGCCUGAGAAGCUGGACAAGACAAAAAAAAAAUACAAAAAUAAAUAAAUUGCCUUUCAAACGUCUAUUCUUGGUGUUGGGUUUUAUCAAAUAAAUUUCCCCCAAAAAUGCGUUUUAUACUCCAGUGCGACUUAUAUGUUUUUUUCCUUCUUUAUUAUGCAUUUUCGGCAGGUACGACUUAUACUCCGGAGCAACUUCUACUCCGAAAAAUACGGUAUAGUUGUGAUUUCCCUCUGCAUGAAAGUUUAAAAUGAGCAUAUGUUAAUGCAGUAUUGAAGAAGAAUGUUUAAAUGUAGACACAUAGAAUCAUCAUACUGCUGUGAUUAUAUGCAUCAAGUGUUCAUUCAAGGCUAAGGCAAAAUAGCCAGAUAAAUAUGGUGUAUCGUGACAUGGCCUAAAAAUAUCGAAAUAUUAAUAAAAGGCCAUAUCGCCCAGCCCUAGUUAGAAUGUGUUUUUUUUUUUUAAACAUAUCAACCGUCGUGUCUUUUGUGAUUGUGAACGAUAGAAAAAUUCCCCUAAAAAUUGCAGUUCCCCUUUAAAUUCAAAUGAUUAGAUUUAAGACUUUAAGUCUAUGAGCAUGAAGUGAUGAAGCCUACUUGGAUGAGAGGACAAACGUCUUCUAAGACAAAGUAAAGAGUCCAGUUGUGAUGGAUUGAAUGCCCUGAGAAUAAAAUGAUAUGUGGAUGUUGUGCUUACUUGGACUGUGAUGAAGCUGUGAGGACUCAGGUGGUUUGUCUUCAUGCUCUUCAGUCUUCACAGAGACAACAGUCAGUGGAAACUUGCUGAGAUCAGCCUCCUCCUGCCCUAGAAGACACUCUUCCUCCUGAGUGAUCCACACUUCCUCCUCUUCCUCUUUAAUGUGAGGGAACUGUUGAUCAUCCUCUUCCUCUUUAAUAUGGGGGGGAUGCUGAACAUCUGUUGGGUAAACAAGUAAAUAAAAUUAAUAGAGAAUAGAAAUAGUUUUGUAUUGACACUGUUAACACAAUGACAUUAUUUGUGUUCUUCCGUGUGUUGUGUUAAAAGUGUGUAGCAAAACAACUAAUGAAAAACAAGGGAAAUACCAACUUGUUUCCUAAAAUUAAUUCAAAAGUGGUACAGUGAGUACAAAAACAGACUUGGAAAUUCGACGAGGGGCAAUUUGAAAAGCUUUUAUAAGUACGAGGCGGUAUUGAUGAAACAUUCUUAACUUCACUGAUGUAAAGUUUGUAAAAAUUGAUAUAGUCAUGAACAUAACUUCAAUAUCAUGGAAAUAAAAAACAUCUUAUUCCAAAAUCACUUUAAAAAAAACAUUCAUGGUAUGUUUUUGUCAUUAUGCAAAAUACGUUUUUGUAGUCAUUUUGUUGGCUGGGCCAAAAGGAACUUUUAACAAAAAAAUGUUUUACUAUGUGCUGUUUUAUGGAGUAUCUCCAUCAACAAUUCUUCUUUAGGAAUUGGAGACCAUCUACGACACGCUGAAGGAAAGUCAGUCACCUUUAUGCUCUCUUAAUAAUUCAAGUGUUGACUACUUUGGUUAUUGAACAUAAAUGUUUACUUUCACUUAUUGUUGCAUGUAAGUCAGAAUCAGGAAGUGAAAUUAUUAUUAUUAUUACUUUAAUUAGAUUUGAUUACAGCAUAAAAUGUAUUUGGUAACUGUGUGAGUUUUGUGUAAACAUGUUGAUACAGGUUUACAUCUUCUUGGGGACUGGAACACAGAUAUCUCCUUUUUUUUUCUUUGUCAUGAAAAAGGGACGUUUUUAUCAUGAAAAAGGGAGGUUUUUGUGGUUGGUGCACUAAUUGUAAGUGUAUAUUGUGUUUUUUGUGUUGAUUUAAUAAAAAUAUUAUUAUUAUUGUU